UGGUUUGAUCACCAAUUUGUGUGCCAGU
rnacentral:sRNA from 1 species